GCCCGGUCGGCGGCAUAGCGCGCCGCCUCGAGGUCGCGCAGAAGGGCAUCCUGAACCUGGUCGCGUUGGCUGGCCAUA
rnacentral:sRNA from 1 species